AAACACACACUCUGCAUUAUAUACACAUUCUGCAUUAUAUACACAGAGUGUGUGUAUAUAAUGCAGAGUGUGUGUUU